rnacentral:rRNA from 1 species
UGAGGAAUAUUGGUCAAUGGGCGAUGGCCUGAACCAGCCAAGUAGCGUGAAGGAUGACUGCCCUAUGGGUUGUAAACUUCUUUUAUAAAGGAAUAAAGUCGGGUAUGCAUACCCGUUUGCAUGUACUUUAUGAAUAAGGAUCGGCUAACUCCGUGCCAGCAGCCGCGGUAAUACGGAGGAUCCGAGCGUUAUCCGGAUUUAUUGGGUUUAAAGGGAGCGUAGAUGGAUGUUUAAGUCAGUUGUGAAAGUUUGCGGCUCAACCGUAAAAUUGCAGUUGAUACUGGAUGUCUUGAGUGCAGUUGAGGCAGGCGGAAUUCGUGGUGUAUCGGUGAAAUGCUUAGAUAUCACGAAGAACUCCGAUUGCGAAGGCAGCCUGCUAAGCUGCAACUGACAUUGAGGCUCGAAAGUGUGGGUAUCAAACAGGAUUAGAUACCCUGGUAGUCCACACGGUAAACGAUGAAUACUCGCUGUUUGCGAUAUACGGCAAGCGGCCAAGCGAAAGCGUUAAGUAUUCCACCUGGGGAGUACGCCGGCAACGGUGAAACUCAAAGGAAUUGACGGGGGCCCGCACAAGCGGAGGAACAUGUGGUUUAAUUCGAUGAUACGCGAGGAACCUUACCCGGGCUUAAAUUGCACUCGAAUGAUCCGGAAACGGUUCAGCUAGCAAUAGCGAGUGUGAAGGUGCUGCAUGGUUGUCGUCAGCUCGUGCCGUGAGGUGUCGGCUUAAGUGCCAUAACGAGCGCAACCCUUGUUGUCAGUUACUAACAGGUGAUGCUGAGGACUCUGACAAGACUGCCAUCGUAAGAUGUGAGGAAGGUGGGGAUGACGUCAAAUCAGCACGGCCCUUACGUCCGGGGCUACACACGUGUUACAAUGGGGGGUACAGAGGGCCGCUACCACGCGAGUGGAUGCCAAUCCCUAAAACCCCUCUCAGUUCGGACUGGAGUCUGCAACCCGACUCCACGAAGCUGGAUUCGCUAGUAAUCGCGCAUCAGCCACGGCGCGGUGAAUACGUUCCC